AAACUGAAGAGUUUGAUCCUGGCUCAGAUUGAACGCUGGCGGCAUGCUUUACACAUGCAAGUCGAACGGCAGCGCGGGGCAACCUGGCGGCGAGUGGCGAACGGGUGAGUAAUACAUCGGAACGUACCCAGAAGUGGGGGAUAACGUAGCGAAAGUUACGCUAAUACCGCAUACGUUCUACGGAAGAAAGUGGGGGAUCUUCGGACCUCAUGCUUUUGGAGCGGCCGAUGUCUGAUUAGCUAGUUGGUGAGGUAAAGGCUCACCAAGGCGACGAUCAGUAGCUGGUCUGAGAGGACGACCAGCCACACUGGGACUGAGACACGGCCCAGACUCCUACGGGAGGCAGCAGUGGGGAAUUUUGGACAAUGGGCGCAAGCCUGAUCCAGCAAUGCCGCGUGAGUGAAGAAGGCCUUCGGGUUGUAAAGCUCUUUUGUCAGGGAAGAAACGGU
rnacentral:ncRNA from 1 species